rnacentral:rRNA from 1 species
AUGAACGCUGGCGGCGUGCCUAAUACAUGCAAGUCGAGCGAACAGACGAGGAGCUUGCUCCUCUGACGUUAGCGGCGGACGGGUGAGUAACACGUGGAUAACCUACCUAUAAGACUGGGAUAACUUCGGGAAACCGGAGCUAAUACCGGAUAAUAUAUUGAACCGCAUGGUUCAAUAGUGAAAGACGGUUUUGCUGUCACUUAUAGAUGGAUCCGCGCCGCAUUAGCUAGUUGGUAAGGUAACGGCUUACCAAGGCAACGAUGCGUAGCCGACCUGAGAGGGUGAUCGGCCACACUGGAACUGAGACACGGUCCAGACUCCUACGGGAGGCAGCAGUAGGGAAUCUUCCGCAAUGGGCUAAAUCCUGACGGAGCAACGCCGCGUGAGUGAUGAAGGUCUUCGGAUCGUAAAACUCUGUUAUUAGGGAAGAACAAAUGUGUAAGUAACUAUGCACGUCUUGACGGUACCUAAUCAGAAAGUCACGGCUAACUACGUG